CCUACGGGAGGCAGCAGUCGAGAAUAUUUGGCAAUGGGCGAAAGCCUGACCCAGCAACGCCGCGUGAAGGAAGGAGGCUUUCGGGUUGUAAACUUCUUUUCUCAUGGACGAAGCAAGUGACGGUACCUGAUGAAUAAGCCACGGCUAACUACGUGCCAGCAGCCGCGGUAAUACGUAGGUGGCAAGCGUUAUCCGGAUUUACUGGGUGUAAAAGGCGUGUAGGCGGAAGUGCAAGUCAGAUGUGAAAACUAUGGGCUCAACCCAUAGCCGGCAUUUGAAACUGUACUUCUUGAGUGCUGGAGAGGCAAUCGGAAUUCCGGGUGUAGCGGUGAAAUGCGUAGAUAUACGGAGGAACACCAGUGGCGAAGGCGGAUUGCUGGACAGUAACUGACGCUGAGGCGCGAAAGCGAGGGGAGCAAACAGGAUUAGAUACCCGUGUAGUC
rnacentral:rRNA from 1 species